rnacentral:rRNA from 1 species
GAUGAACGCUGGCGGCGUGCCUAACACAUGCAAGUCGAGCGAACGGACGCGAUGCUUGCUUCUCUGAUGUUAGCGGCGGACGGGAGAGUAACAUGUCCUUACCCUACCUAUAAGACUGGGAUAGCUUCGGGAAACCGUUGCUAAUACCGGAUCAUAUUUUGAACCGCAUGGUUCAAAAGUGACAGCCGGUCUUGCUGUCACCUCUAGAUGGAUCCGCGCUGCAUUAGCGAGUUGGUAAGGUAACGGCUUACCAAGGCCACGAUGCAUAGCCGACCUGCGAGGGGGAUCGGGCACACUGGAGCUGAGAGGCGGUCCAGAGUCCGACGGGAGGCAGCAGUAGGGAAUGGUCCGCGAUGGGGGGAAGCCUGACGGAGCAGCGCCGCGUGGGUGAAGAAGGGCUGCGGGUCGUAAAACUCUGUUAUGAGGGAAGAACAUAUGUGUAAGUAGCUAUGCACAUCGUGACGGUACCUAAUGAGGAAGCCACGGCUAACUACGUG